rnacentral:rRNA from 1 species
GACGAACGCUGGCGGCGUGCUUAACACAUGCAAGUCGAACGGGAACCUUUAUUUCGGUAAAGGUGAGAGUGGCAAACGGGCGAGUAACACGUAGGCAACCUGCCGACAGGAUGGGGACAACAUUCCGAAAGGAAUGCUAAUACCGAAUGAAGUCACCGGAGGGCAUCCUCUGGUGAUGAAAGAUGGCCUCUGAAUAUGCUAUCGCCUGUCGAUGGGCCUGCGUCUGAUUAGCCAGUUGGCGGGGUAACGGCCCACCAAAGCGACGAUCAGUAGCCGGUCUGAGAGGAUGAACGGCCACAUUGGGACUGAGACACGGCCCAGACUCCUACGGGAGGCAGCAGUGGGGAAUCUUCCACAAUGGGCGAAAGCCUGAUGGAGCAACGCCGCGUGAGUGAAGAAGGUCUUCGGAUCGUAAAGCUCUGUUGCACGGGACGAAAACCGAGCUUGAAAACAUUGAGUUUGGGGACG